rnacentral:rRNA from 1 species
GAUGAACGCUGGCGGCGUGCUUAACACAUGCAAGUCGAACGCACCUUCGGGUGAGUGGCGGACGGGUGAGUAACGCGUGGGAAUCUGGCCCUAGGAGGGGGACAACGGUUGGAAACGGCCGCUAAUACCCCAUAUGGCGAGAGCUGAAAUGAAUUUUCGCCUGGGGAUGAGCCCGCGUCUGAUUAGCUAGUUGGUGGGGUAAAUGCUCACCAAGGCAUCGAUCAGUAGCUGGUCUGAGAGGACGAUCAGCCACACUGGGACUGAGACACGGCCCAGACUCCUACGGGAGGCAGCAGUGGGGAAUUUUCCGCAAUGGGCGAAAGCCUGACGGAGCAACGCCGCGUGAGGGAUGAAGGCCUUUGGGCUGUAAACC